GUUGAACGCUGGCGGAAUGCUUUACACAUGCAAGUCGAGCGGCAGCGCGGGGGCAACCCUGGCGGCGAGCGGCGAACGGGUGAGUAAUGCAUCGGAACAUGUCCGGUUGUGGGGGAUAACCUGGCGAAAGCCAGGCUAAUACCGCAUGAGCUCGAGAGAGGAAAGCGGGGACCGUAAGGCCUCGCGCGACCGGGUUGGCCGAUGUCCGAUUAGCUAGUUGGUGGGGUAAAGGCUUACCAAGGCGAUGAUCGGUAGCUGGUCUGAGAGGAUGAUCAGCCACACUGGGAC
rnacentral:rRNA from 1 species